rnacentral:rRNA from 1 species
GGAAUAUUGCGCAAUGGGCGAAAGCCUGACGCAGCAACGCCGCGUGGAGGAUGAAGGUUUUCGGACUGUAAACUCCUGUCAGAGGGGACGAAAAGGUUCCGGCAAAUAGUCGGUUCCAUUGACGGUACCCUCGGAGGCAGACCCGGCCAACUCCGUGCCAGCAGCCGCGGUAAUACGGCGGGGGCAAGCGUUAUUCGGAAUUAUUGGGCGUAAAGAGCACGUAGGCGGCUAGACAAGUCAAGGGUGAAAUCCCUCGGCUCAACCGAGGAACUGCCUUUGAAACUGUCUAGCUUGAGGCCGGGAGGGGGUAGCGGAAUUCCCAGUGUAGCGGUGAAAUGCGUAGAUAUUGGGAGGAACACCGGUGGCGAAGGCGGCUACCUGGACCGGUUCUGACGCUGAGGUGCGAAAGCGUGGGGAGCA